UACGUAGGGUGCAAGCGUUGUCCGGAAUUAUUGGGCGUAAAGAGCUCGUAGGCGGUUUGUCGCGUCGGAUGUGAAAACCCAGGGCUCAACCCUGGGCCUGCAUUCGAUACGGGCAGACUAGAGGUAUGGCAGGGGAGACUGGAAGUUCCUGGUGUAGCGGUGAAAUGACGCAGAUAUCAGGAGGAACACCAGUGGCGCAGGCGGCUCUCUGGGUCGGCCCUGACGCUGAGGCGCGAAAGCGUGGGGAGCGAACGGG
rnacentral:rRNA from 1 species